rnacentral:rRNA from 1 species
UGCGCAGGCGGAUCAAUAAGUCGGGGGUUAAAUCCAUGUGCUUAACACAUGCACGGCUUCCGAUACUGUUGAUCUAGAGUCUCGAAGAGGAAGGUGGAAUUUCCGGUGUAACGGUGGAAUGUGUAGAUAUCGGAAAGAACACCAGUGGCGAAGGCAGCCUUCUGGUCGAGUACUGACGCUCAUGCACGAAAGCGUGGGGAGCAAACAG